rnacentral:rRNA from 1 species
CGUGCAGGCGGGCGGGCAAGUCUGAUGUGAAAGCCCCGGGCUCAACCCGGGAAGUGCAUUGGAAACUGUUCGUCUUGAGUUCUGGAGAGGAAGGGGGAAUUCCCGGUGUAGAGGUGAAAUUCGUAGAGAUCGGGAGGAAUACCAGUGGCGAAGGCGCCCUUCUGGACGGCAACUGACGCUGAGACGCGAAAGCGUGGGGAGCAAACAGGAUUAGAUACCCUGGUAGUCCACGCUGUAAACGAUGAGCACUAGGUGUAGCGGGUACUCAUUCCUGCUGUGCCGCAGCUAACGCGUUAAGUGCUCCGCCUGGGGAUUACGGUCGCAAGACUAAA